UGCUCGUCCUUCACCUCGUACGAAAAUUCGUACUUUGCCGGCUCCUGAAAGUAAGGCGGAACAGGCCUCGUCAAUGCACCUCUUCUACUCGUCCAAUUUAGAGGGACCUCAUUGACAUCCGUGCUUUCUUCCUGCGCGUUCUCGUUGUAACCACUGCCUGCGCCGUUUCUGGAACCGCCGCCACCACCGUUUCCGAAAUUGCCCGCGUUUCCGUUCGGACCUCCAGACGGAUAUCCGUUAGCCCCGCCGUUACCGUUUGCACCACCAGGCACGCCGUAAGAGCCAGAUGGUCUUCCAGCGCCAUUGGGGACACCGUACGAGCUAGAAGGUGGGCCACCC